GGGGCUAUAGUAUAGUGGUUAGUAUAUCUCAUUGUGGUUGCAAAACAGCGCUGAGACGACGCCAGUUCGAUUCCGGCUAGCCCCA